UGGUAUCUAAGGCAAAGGUAGGGAUUCUUCCCACAAGGGAAGAAAGUUUAAAGGAUCAACGCCGCUUGAAUGAAAAAGUUUUCGGAUCGUAAAAUUCUGUUGUUAGAGAAGAACGUGUGUGAGAGUAACUGUUCAUGCAGUGACGGUAUCUAACCAGAAAGCCACGGCUAAUUACGUGCCAGCAGCCGCGGUAAUACGUAGGUGGCAAGCGUUGUCCGGAUUUAUUGGGCGUAAAGGGAACGCAGGCGGUUUUUUAAGUCUGAUGUGAAAGCCUUCGGCUUAACCGAAGUCAUGCAUUGGAAACUGAAAGACUUGAGUGCAGAAGAGGAGAGUGGAACUCCAUGUGUAGCGGUGAAAUGCGUAGAUAUAUGGAAGAACAGCAGUGGCGAAAGCGGCUCUCUGGUCUGUAACUGACGCUGAGGUUCGAAAGUGUGGGUAGCAAACAGGAUUAGAUACCCUGGUAGUCCACACCGUAAACGAUGAAUGCUAAGUGUUGGAGGGUUUCCGCCCUUCGGUGCUGCAGCUAACGCAUUAAGCAUUCCGCCUGGGGAGUACGACCGCAAGGUUGAAACUCAAAGGAAUUGACGGGGGCCCGCACAAGCGGUGGAGCAUGUGGUUUAAUUCGAAGCAACGCGAAGAACCUUACCAGGUCUUGACAUCUUCUGACAGCCUAAGAGAUUAGGUGUUCCCUUCGGGGACAGAAUGACAGGUGGUGCAUGGUUGUCGUCAGCUCGUGUCGUGAGAUGUUGGGUUAAGUCCCGCAACGAGCGCAACCCUUAUUAUUAGUUGCCAGCAUUAAGUUGGGCACUCUAGUGAGACUGCCGGUGACAAACCGGAGGAAGGUGGGGAUGACGUCAAAUCAUCAUGCCCCUUAUGACCUGGGCUACACACGUGCUACAAUGGACGGUACAACGAGUCGCGAAACCGCGAGGUUUAGCUAAUCUCUUAAAGCCGUUCUCAGUUCGGAU
rnacentral:rRNA from 1 species